GGGUAGGUUCACAAAAAAUCUACUCCAAAAAGAGAAGUUGCUCAAUCUCCCUCAGAACCUGACUCUAAUGGUUUUCUGUUGUAGCAAAUCCUGGUCAAAAUAUAUAGCCUACUCUCGAUUCUCUGACUGGAGGCAAAUGGAGCAAGGCAAAUCAUCAACACUUCUGCUUGGCUAAGCUCUUCUGAUUGAUGAUUCUGGCUAAGGGAUGACCUCUGGAAGGAAUUUCCACAAGGAGAGAUGCAAAGUGGUGCUCCUCACCUGGAAAGAGACCAGACUGCAGGGAGACAUAUGUUUGGGCUUUGACAAUGAGGAAAAUGCUCACGAUUUGGCUUCUGUUUGGAAAUUUUGAAGAAAACAGGAGCUCUGCAAGAAACAACCAUAUAUCCAUCUGAGGCACAGAAAGGGGGAGCACGGGAAUUUAAAAAGAAGGAAAAAAAAGGACUCUCCCGCACUUGCAACCACUGAAAUGAAAGAUAUAAAGCUUUGGCUGCCAGCCCUUUCAAAUGACAAGGACAACAGCAACUGCAAAAUUGGGAAGAUCACCAUGGAAAAGGCAGUAACACUAAGAGGUAAGGGAGGCCGUGCAAGAUGUGAAACCAAGAGGAAGAUGAAAGACCAGAUUGCUGAAAAAUGAGCAGGAAACAAUUAGAAUGAUUUCCAAUACAGGGUUAGGAUGUCAGAUCUAAACAAGUUAAGCUAAUCUAAUACCAAAAAGCCACAGAGAUCAUUCCAAACAAUAAAACUUCAGAAUCCAAA